rnacentral:rRNA from 1 species
UACAGAGGGGGCAAGCGUUGUUCGGAAUUACUGGGCGUAAAGGGCGCGUAGGCGGCCUUCUAAGUCGAACGUGAAAUCCCCGGGCUCAACCCGGGAACUGCGUCCGAUACUGGAAGGCUUGAAUCCGGGAGAGGGAUGCGGAAUUCCAGGUGUAGCGGUGAAAUGCGUAGAUAUCUGGAGGAACACCGGUGGCGAAGGCGGCAUUCUGGACCGAAACUGACGCUGAUGCGCGAAAGCCAGGGGAGCAAACGGG